UAGGAACGUCCCGACCAUACUCCGAGAACGUCAGAAACUAAGAUCACGGAAGCGUUUUUUACAAACUGCCACCGACUACGCGAGCAAUGUUCGCUGGUGGACGUCCGUGUUUUUUACUGUGACUAAAGAAGUGCGACCAAGGCAGUCCAUCGACAUGAAUUAGAAAGCACGGGAUAACAAAGCAGCAGCCUAUGAGCUACCGUUUAGGCUUUUGUUGGUUUUAAAGGUUCGUGGGAGAUUACGGGCGUGUAGGACCGGCGUUGGGGGUUUUCCAAAAUCCCGCGUCUCCUCCUGGCAUCGGAAACGGUGCUUGCGGGGCCUGCUUCGCUCAGGAAUGAAGGAGGGUUGCUCGGGGAAAACGUACUUGGGCGUGAGAGGUGAAAUUCUUAGACCGCCCAAAGACGAACUACAGCGAAGGCAUUUUCCAAGGAUACCUUCCUCAAUCAAGAACCAAAGUGUGGGGAUCGAAGAUGAUUAGAGACCAUUGUAGUCCACACCACAAACGAUGACCCCCAUGAAUUGGGGAGUUUUUGCGGAGGCGCCUCCCGGCUUGUCCGGGUGGGG
rnacentral:rRNA from 1 species